UAGCACCUUGCUGCUGUCCUGUCAGCUCUGGCUGAUCCUCCAGUUCUCAACCAGCCGGUUGCUGGAAGCAGAAAGGUUCUGUGGGAGCUUGGGAGUGGUGCAGGGGCAUGUGCAUCUUCAGACUACUUUUGACAGUGGCUGUGAGCGACUACCUGUGCUGUCGCAGUCAAUGGGUUGUGGGGGGCAUUGGUUGGGUUCCUCACUGUGGCUGCAUGGACAGAACCCAGUUUUAUCUCUCCAGUAAGUUCCUGUCUCCCGAAGUGCCGCUAUCCUCUGUCUUUCCUCCUCAGUGAGCAGAGUGCUAUGUCCAUGUCCAUUAGCAUCGUUAGGACCAGAUUUGGACUGCAAUAAAAAAGGGCUGUUUUCUGGUUUGCUCUGAUGUAAAUCCACAGCCUCUGUUCUAGCAGUACAGUGUAUGCUGGUACUGCUACACAGUUCAAGCAUUGCUGUAGGAAACUUGCAGGGUAAGUAAUAUCAAAGACUAGUCUCAUUUUCCCCCAAGAACCCAGUUAUGGUGAAUACCAAGGUUAAAGGUAUAACUGGUUCCAUAUUUUUAAUUAUUUCCCCCAUCGGGACACAUCACCAUGGAUGCUUGUCAGAUGAUUGGCAAGCAGUACCUGACCCUCUGCCUUAGCUUGCAGUGGCCAGGAGUGAAAUGUCUUCUAUCAAAAAGAGUGGUGAUGCUCUGAGUGUGUGUGGCUGAAGGAAAGUAAUUAAUGUUCAUGAUGGAAAUACCUUGUGUUUUUGUGUGUUUCUCUCUCUGACCUCUUGGUCAGGUCAGCCCCCAUAUGUUUUGUUUCAGAUGGCCAUCAGUAUUUGAAUUCAUGGUGGCAAGAGGGUUAUGUGGCUUGGAAUUUGGUAUUCAACAGCGACAGAGUGAAGCACAUGAGCAGCAGCAACCCUUUCAUUCCCUCUGGAGAAGGCUGCUCUCAAGCAAUGCCAAGAAACUACCUACUCCAUGUAGCAUGUGGCUUUGCUAAUAUCUCUGUGCCUAGUGCCUGGGCACCAAGCCCCUGCUCCACUGCCAUUCCUCCUCUUGACUGGAAGGUUUAGCUUUCUUCAGACAUCAGCUGGAUCUAAUUUGAGGAUUAGCUUUUUCAUCUCUGGCACCCAUCAAUAGAAAAACUUAAGGCAAUCUGCCUUAAGUUAUCAAAACUUGCAAAUGACUCUUUACUUAAAUUUUUGAGGAAAAACUGUCUAAGCCUGAAAGAGAGAGACUUGGUGCCAUGAUGUGUUGCAACUGACCACCAGAACAGGAAUGACUUGUAGACAGGAGAUCAGCCUCGGUGUGAAUCUUGCUUCAGGCGGAAUCCCAUCCGUCUAGGAAGAUGUCUAAAGGCUCUAGGUCUUGCUCAUGUUAUGUCUCAAAUCCCUGCCACACACUGAACCAGUUCAGUAGAUGAGUGGUAGGGAGCACAUUUCCAGUAUGUGAGCUCCUUAUUAAUCUGUCUGCAGAAGUAACUCAGUACUCUGAGUGUCUACCUAUGCUACCUUGCAGGGCAGCCAAGGGGAAGGUUAGAGAAGACAGGCAGCACAGGUCCCUCCGCUUCCUCCUUCCCUGCCUCAGGCUGCCGGCGCCUGCAGAAGCAAAACAAGAGACACGAGCCACUUGCGAUGAGCAGCAGUUGGGAGCGGAUGCACUCUGUGGUGAUCGCAGCGACGCUCUGCAGAGCCUUGUGGGGUGCCUGGGACUGAGCGGCAUUUCAGGGGUGGGCUCUGGACUCCCGGGUGGUGCUUCUCCAAGCACAGCAUCCCUGUGCACUGUGCUGGCCCAGGAGCUCAGCUGGGGCACUCCUCAUGCUGAGAUGAGGGCUGACUGGGAUGUUUUGAAGAGGUAAUGCCUCCUGGCAAUGCAGGGGCUUUCUAAAAAUCUGCUAUACUUCUGAUUUUUGGAGGCUGGAAAAACUGAACCCAUGUUUUAUUUCUUACCGAUAUUUUUCGAAAUGCCAAAGUUUUUCACUUUGUCAUCUCUUACUUAGAAAACUUAUUUCUGAGAAACUUUUUAAAACUUUCUCUUAUUCUGUCCACCCAUGACUAUCUAUUGGAUUUUCUCCCAGAAUGGAAACUUUGUAUUCUGAGUAGUUACCAGCACAGUAGGUCUCCUGAAUUUAAAAGUAUCCUUUUACUUUUUUUUAGAGUAUGUAAAUAAGCAUGAACAGAUGCUCUGAGAACACUGCCCAGACCUUGCCUGUUUAAAACCAGAUUAUGGGGUUUCUGUGCAAGAAUCAGUUAAGUGGGUGCAACCCUGUCUCACCUCUGAGAACAGCUUUUCUUUUUCCUGCCAGAGCAUCCCUCUUCCAGGCAGACGGGGCACAGGGUCAUCUAAAAUCCCAGCUCUAUCAGUGCCUUUGACUUAAUUCUUUGUGCAGGUAAGUCUGUUUCAGAUUUAUCAUCUUCACCUCAGAGGAGUAAGGUGUGCAGAGCAUAAGGAAAGACCAUCAUCCCGAUGGUCCCAAUGUACAGUUUCUUCUCUACCCCCCUAUCUACCCUGUACCUAAUCAAUCUGCUGAUCUUAUACUUCUCACUUCUGGGCCACUUAAGCAGUACUGCUAUUGUUACUAGCCUGCAAUUAGGAUUUCUUUUGGCAUAUCGUUCUUGAUAUGAAAAUGUCCUCUAACUAGCUCCUUGGCUGCAAGAACAAACUGGUGAGUUUUAUUUUCUUGGUGCAAACUACCAAUUUUCACAUCAGGGAGCCGACGACUAGUCUUCGGAAGGGUGGUGUUCCUACCCUCUCCCUAAAAUGUACUCAGGCUCCAUUCCCACAGUUACUCUGCAAGGGUUUGUUCAGGCUGCCCAGCUGCUGGCGAAGUGGAACUAGGGAGGAGCCCUGAGGGAACUGGUGGUACCUGAUGUAGUUGGAAGGAAAGCAGAAGGAGAUGCUAAAAAGAUUGAAGACUCCAGACUUGGGAGUCUUGGCUCGUUGCUCGACUCUUGUUUAUAUUAUGUAUUAUAUUAUAAGCAUAUAUAUAGGUAUCUAUACAUAAGUGCUUAUAACUGCGUAACCUGGCAGUGCUUUUGGUUUUGUCCAUAAAUGAAGUGGAGAUGCUUUUGAAUUCUGAGCAGAAAAAACCCUGUUCCUUGUUCAUCUGUGCAAAGGGCCAGAGUCUUGAGAGAAGCUACUAAGCAGAAGUGAAAGCAGAGGGAAGAUGCGAAGCACUGCAGAUCUGCCUGCCUGGGCACUCCUACUGCGCUUGUGCGUGCAAUAAAAAUGCCUGCACAUUCCUGCCUUAGUCUUGGGUUUGCUGUUCCAGACGGGCAAGUGCACACCCAAGAAGAACUGCUGUUUCCAUCCUGUUCUGGGGAGGAAACCACUGGCACUGGACGUAGCUGAGACAGUGGCGAUGGGAAUCAGCAGCUCUGUUCCUGCCCCUCCCUUACGUGGCUGGGAAUUCACAUUAUGGUCAAAGCAGGUUUGAAUUGCCUCUCGAGGUGGCUGGGUGCUCUGGAGGAGAGAAAUCUAAUUAACACUCGUUGCCUGCUCAGCUGGACAUAGACAUGAAGCAAGAUCAGACCUGGGAGUAGGUCGUGUGGUUCCUACUAGAGCACGCAGGGCCAGAGCUCCUGUGUGCGGGCUGUGCAGGAUGUGGUGGGCUGGGGCCAGUUCUUGUGCACGUCUGACCCAGAAAGUGUUGAAGUACCUCAUUAUCUCCAGAGCAAGCUCGUUCCAGGCUUGCUUUGUUUGGCCUAUGAGCACUUCCCCAGGAACACAGCUUCAGCUGCUGGUAGAAGACUGGGACCAAGCUGAAGACAGAAAUCUUGGCAAAUGUUGUAAGGUAAAGAGAAGGAUAGGCAAAAUGCAACAUAAAUUUCAAGAGAGGAGUCAAUAGCCUUUAGGAUCAGGAUUUUCUAGCCCUCGUCCUGGCUGAGGUGGGAGGUACACUGACAGAGAGCCCCCUGGUUCAGCACUCUUGAUCUUCUCCAAAACGGGUGUUGGGAAGAAGUGGCUAAGCCCGCCGUGCCCCACUCGUGCCCCGUGCAGCAGCACUGUGCUGCUCUGCACCAGCAAAGGCAGCUUGGCAGCCUGCCUGGACAUGGAAGCUGCUUCAGGACCUGCUCGGGGAGGCAUCGCUCCAGCGCAGGCUGUCCCAAUAAAUGGCAGGUCAUGGCCCGGACGCCUGGGAUUGGGCUGGGAGGAGCGCGGCUGCUCCUGCUGGCACCGUCUUCAGCCCUGUGCUCUGGGUGGUUACUAAAUAGGCAGCCUCCCAUUUCGUACCUCUGGCAGGGGAGACCACCUGCAAAAUAACCCCUUUGUGCCAUCCUGGGGGGUGGCAUGAGAGCGAUGCACUGGGGACGGGCGCCAGCAGCAGCUCUGCCACGUGCCAGGACUUGCGGCAUUGGGAGGAAGAUAGGCUGCAGCCACCCAGUGAGGUUCAGCUCACACAACUCCAGGUGGCACGUGCUGCUGCAAAAGCCCUUCCCUGGUGUUCUCCUUACUCAUAUAAAUAAAAUAUUCUCCUUAUUCAUAUAAAUAAAAUAUAUGUAUGUGUAUCUAUCCAAAUCUUUUUAAAUGGCAUUAUCUCAGUAGAUCUCAGGAUGAAAUUGUUUUUCUGCUACUACAGUGUGCAUGUUAUCUAGGCUUGUUCCUUUUUUUUUUUUUUUUAAAGAUUCACAUUCUUCCAUCUCUCUUAUUUGUUUCUUGCAAACCUGUUUCCUAAGGUUUUGUUUCCCACUGUCCCUGUUCUUCCACUUGGCUUAGGUAUGGUUACAGACUCAAAAUCUUAGACAUCAAGAUUUCAUCCUUUGCGUUUUUCCCUUUAGAUUUUCAUUGGUUCUGACAGGCUGAUUAAAAACCCAGUUUCUUUGCCUUCUGCAGUUUCAAAAAUGUGUAUUGAAAAUGUCUUUUUCUGUAGUCUUAACUGAUCCUUUGUAAUAUUUGUUGGUUCUCUUCCUAUCUUCAGUAAAAAGAUUGAUUUUUUUUUUUUUUUUUAAAAUCUCUCAAGUAACAUCUCCCAAAACCAUAUGGACUUUUUCUUGUUUCACCCCAGAAGAUGUGUAAAGUGAUUUUUUUACUUUAAAUAUGCUUUGCUCAGGAUUUUCCAGCUUGCUUUUGCACUUGUAGAUUUAAUAUUUCCCCUUGCUGCUUAUGUUUACACCGAACAUUUGUUUUCAUUUUCAACUUAUUGUUGUGUUCAGCGCAGUCUUAUCUUGCUGGGCAGAAGUCACAUAGCUUGUAAUUGAUUACAUAGUUUCCUAUCAUAGUCUAUUAGUUCCUGCCAAUUAGCUUGUCGUCUUGUUGAUAAGAUUAUUGCCAUCGGUGCGUGUAGCGAUCGUGGUUAUCCAGGAAUAUUUGAGCAGCAAUGCUGAUGUACACAAUAGUUUUGAGAAUCUCUAGAAAUGUUUCCUUAUUAAAUCUCCUCUCUCCUUACCCCAAUCUGUUGCACAAGGCAAGGUAUUAUUUGGCUUUGCUGUUGUGUUUUAAUCCCUAUAUCCUUACCCUAACUAUUUAACAACUACACUAUUCAGAGUGAGAUGGUUUCCGUGCAGGGAUAUUCUCUGCUUCUCACCGUCUUGUGUAAUCUCUCCUCUGGAACAUCUUCCCUGGUUUCCAGCAAUUACUGAUUUGAGGACUGGAGCUGACUGUUUUAUUUGGACAAUCCUGUUUAAUCGCUGCUGUGGAGGAGCAGCCGUUUGUGAAUUUGCCUAGUUCCUUUCCGAACAAUAUUCUGUGGCAAUGGCCAUGGGUACCACAUUUCAUUAAUUAUGAACAGUGAGAGGAAAAAGUAUUUCCUUUUGUUCUAAGUCUGAAUAUUUCAUCAGAUACCAUUAGGUGUUGCACUAUAAGAUGUUGUGAGUGAUAUAUUCAUCUUCUCUGUCUUUUCCUUGUUUCCUAGACCUCUGUUGUCAACCUCUUUUUAUCCUAGGCAUCUCUUCCCAAGAAGAUGAGUUGUCAUGUAUUUGAUCACUCCUUGGUUGAGUCUGUUCUUUACCUCUGCUUGUCUCUCUUCCCUUGCCCUGUUUCUCCUAUAGGAUGUCCGGUGCUGUGUGGGUAUA